rnacentral:rRNA from 2 species
GAUUAAGUUAUUAAGGGCGCACGGUGGAUGCCUUGGCACUAGAAGCCGAUGAAGGACGUUACUAACGACGAUAUGCUUUGGGGAGCUGUAAGUAAGCUUUGAUCCAGAGAUUUCCGAAUGGGGAAACCCAACAUGAGUUAUGUCAUGUUAUCGAUAUGUGAAUACAUAGCAUAUCAGAAGGCACACCCGGAGAACUGAAACAUCUUAGUACCCGGAGGAAGAGAAAGAAAAUUCGAUUCCCUUAGUAGCGGCGAGCGAAACGGGAAGAGCCCAAACCAGCAAGCUUGCUUGUUGGGGUUGUAGGACACUCUAUACGGAGUUACAAAGGACGAUAUUAGACGAAUCAUCUGGAAAGAUGAAUCAAAGAAGGUAAUAAUCCUGUAGUCGAAAAUAUUGUCUCUCUUGA